rnacentral:rRNA from 1 species
UAGCCGUAAACGAUACUCGCUAGGUGUCGGCCACGGUGCGACCGUUGUCGGUGCCGUAGGGAAGCCGUGAAGCGAGCCACCUGGGAAGUACGGCCGCAAGGCUGAAACUUAAAGGAAUUGGCGGGGGAGCACCACAACGGGUGGAGCUUGCGGUUUAAUUGGAUUCAACGCCGGAAAUCUUACCGGGACCGACAGCAACAUGAAGGCCAGGCUGAAGACUUUGCCGGAUUAGCUGAGAGGUGGUGCAUGGCGUCAGUGACU